GGUUCUAUGGGGUAAUAGGGUUCUUAAUGGGGGUCAAUUGGUUCUUAGUGGGGUAAAAUAGGGUUCUAUGGGGGUAAUUGGGGUUCUAUGGGGGGUAAUAAGGGUCUAUGGGGGGGGUAAUUGGGUUCUAUGGGGGGGUAAUUGGGUUCUAUGGGGUAUCUUGGGUCUAUGGGGGGGGUUAAUAGGGUCUAAUGGGGGGGUAAUUGGGUCUAUGGGGGGUAAUUGGUUUGUCUAUGGGGGGUAAUAUGGGU
rnacentral:lncRNA from 1 species